AGUCUAGAAGCAGAUUCUGGGCCAGGGUCCACAUUUCAAACUAUGCCUGGAGGGACUAACACCUUCCUCAGAGCCUGUGUGCAGGGCUGGAAGGUCUGAUGAUUUUAUGGGCUGUCCUGACAGAGAUUAUUGGAGACUCCUUUGGUCUGCUGAUUUAUAACACUCCUAAACCCUUGAGCUGAUGCCUGAGAGGAGUGGUUGUCUGGGAGGAUUUGGAGGAAGGCACAUGCAUGAAGACGAAUGGCCAUUUAAUCGUGAGUAAGAGAUGAAGAGAUGGGAGGAGGUUUGUCUGGGAGGAGGCAAUGAUCUGGUUGAUGAUUCUUUUGCUUCUAGAGGGAGAUUUUGGAACUACUGGGCAAUGCCUCUGGUACUCUAUUGUUCUAUCAAACCUCAUCCUGGCCCUGUGACUUGGGCUCCAAAUUUCCUCCCCUUGUCGUUAUAGAGCAGGCAAGUUGCACAACAUGUAUAUCAAACCCUGUCUCUCAGACCACACUUCCUUUUUGGUCCCCAAUGAGUAGAAGAAAUAACUCACUAUAGAAAUUGUUAUGCUGGGGGUGUGGCAUAGUGAUGACGAUACUGAUGAUGAUGUUGGCAAAGGAAAUGAACAAAGCAAAAGAGGAAGUCGGCAAAGCCAGGAUGGUGACGGGCACUCUAGCUUUUGGGGAACUUUUCAGCUCUUGACUCACUCAGCACUUUUAAGCUGUAAGGUUCCCUCUGUUCUGACAUCUUAUUCCUCCAAGAUGGAGGCAGGCAUUUCUUCAAAGCUGAAAGUGCCUUGCUACCUGUUUUACUUACUUUCUAUUGCUGUGAUAACCAUGACUACUGUGCAGCCCAGACUGGCUUCAAGUACAUGACAAUUCUCCUGCAUUUGUCUCCCAAGGACUGAGAUUACAGGCACGAGCUCCCAGGCCCAGUUGAUGUAUGUGUUCUACAUCUUCUUUACUUAUCCUCUUGCUCAGAACAGAGCUAAGCAAUGACUGUCCUCAUUACUUUCUCCAGACCUUGUCUUAUUCCUUAAGUUGACGACUUAGCACAGGCCUUAGGGGUCUGUUCUUUCCCUCUCAUCUUUUCUGUCCUGGUUAGUUUUAUGUCAACUAGACACAAGCUAGAAUCAUCAGAGAGAAGGGAGCCUUAACUGACAAAAUACAUCCAAAAGAUCUGUCUGUAGGCAAGCCUGUAGGAAAUUUUAUUAAUUGGUAUUUACUUGGGGAGAAAUCAGCCUGUUGUGGGUGGUGCCAUCCCUGGGCUGGUGGUCCUGGGUUCUAUAAGAAAGUAGGUUGACAAGCCAUGAGGAGCAAGCCAGUGAGCAGCAUCCCUCCAUGAUCGCUGCAUCAGCUCCUGGUUCCAGGUUCCUGCCUUGCUUGAGUUCCUGUCCUGACUUCCUUUGAUGAUAAACUGUGAUGUGGAAAUAUACUCAGUGCUGGUGAGCUGGAGCUGAGAAAUUAGCAGUGACUAAGAAAAGUCCAGCAUUAUUGAGGUGAAAUCUUCUGGGAAGUGUUUUCUGAGAGCACACAGAAGCUGUUUUCCAGAGAUGGCCAAAGUUGUAUUUCUCCACUGGCAGCCAAAUUUGGUCCUGUGGAAGAGCCACCCAGGUGACACUGGUUCAUGGAAGAGCAGCUGAGUCUUGGCACUGACAAUACAGCCUCAGUGGCAGCUGAAGGCCCAGGAUUGAAAGGGUCAUACAGAGAAGUUGAGGCUUGUCACCAUGAAGAGAGCCCAGGAGAGUACUGGUAUAAGUGCAGCCCAGUUGCAGCAGAAGACCCCAGCAUUUUGGAGAUGCAAGUACCAUGGGAUGACCAUCAAGAACAGCAGCAGCAGUGGAGUGGAGCCAGCCAAAUCCUAAAAGACAAGCUGUUUGUGCUACAAAGGGCUGAGCUGCAGAAGUAACUCAAGCCCCUUAGAGGAUCCCAGAAGAUCUUGAGUGCAUCUCUGACGUUGGAACAUGCACUAUUUACAUUUUUGGAGUUUGGUUUUGCUUUGCUUUGAUUGCGAUUUUGACCUAGUUCUUCUCUCUUGAAAUAUAAUUUAUUUUUGAUUUUACAGAAGUCCAAAGUUGAGAGACUGAAUUUUAAAAGAGAUUGAUUAUUUUAAAGAGAGAGAACUUUUAAUGUAUUUGAAUUUGUGAGGAUUGUGGGACCUUUAAGUUGUUAAUGUUUUAUAUUGUGAUAUAAAUAUUAACAUAACAUCUUGGGGAUAAAUGAGAAAAGAAAGGUUCUAAUUAAAAAGUGAUAAGUUGGGCCUUGAGCUCAGCAAUUUAGAGCACUGGCUGCUUAUCCAGAGGUCCUGAGUUCAAGUCCCAGCACCCACAUGGUGGCUAACAGUGUCUGUAACAGUAGUCCCAUGGGAUUUAAUAAACUCUUCUAGUGUGUAGGAGUACAUGCAGACAAAAACACCCAUAUACAUAAAAUAUAUAAAUAAAUAAAUC
ensembl:antisense Il1bos interleukin 1 beta, opposite strand